rnacentral:lncRNA from 1 species
AGCCAUGUACCUAGUGAUGUACUGGCUGGUACUUAAUCUGCAUGCCAACAGGAAAAGCCCUGUAUCCUAGCAUCUACUGCCCCUGCUGAAAACAUCCCUGUCACGGCUGAUUUUCAUCUGUCGAUCACUUAGCCACCAGCUCAAGAGACUCCUGAGGCUUGAAAGUUGGCCUGGCUGAGAGGGGCCAAGGCACCUGGCCAACUCUUAGCACACGGGCCACCUGGGAAAUAUCUAGUGACCCUGGAACUUCCUGGAGUCCUGCUGGAGGCAUCCAGAGGACCCUUGCCUGAGAAGGGCCCUCCCUGUCCCUCCCAGAGCUACACAGAGCCCCUGGGGGUAUGUCUUUCCCUCACAAAGACAUCUUCAUAGCCUGGGAGAGGGCGGCUCAGCUGAUAAAGGACUUGCCCUGAAAUCUUGACCACUUGAGUUUGAUCCCUGGUAGAGGGAAAGGAACUAAGUCUUUUGCCUCAGGCCAUGGCAGAAGUGAACCUGAUGGUGCUGCUGCUGAUAAUGAGGAUGGAGGAGGAGGAGGAGAAGGAGGAGGAGGAGGAGGAGGAGGAGGAGGAGGAAGAG